GAUUUAGCCAUGGGGGUGUUUAAAAUUAGAUUCUAAGUGAAAAGAAAUUUUUUUAUCUUUUCUGGUGGUCGGAAGUAGCUCCGGCGUGGCAGGGGGUGGCGACUGCUCUCCUUCCCAGCGGCUAGGUCUUCUUCUCCGGCGAGGGUGGCGGGUGGCUAGGGUUAGAGUUUGGUGGAAAGGGGUUAUUUAUAUCCGUUCUCAUUUAAUCUGGGCCAUCCAUCGUGUUUGAGCUAUAAUGUUU
rnacentral:lncRNA from 1 species